AAGUCAGGUAAGGUUAGUUCUGCACUUAAUAGAUAAAAUAAUAAUUUUUGCCUUUCAGCUUCUCCAAAAGUCUCUGUGAAGUCUCUGGUGGUGAUGAAUGUGGUCAAUGUAUUGGAGUGUCAUGUGGACAACUUCUAUCCAAGUGAGAUCUCCAUAGAGUGGCUUAGAGCUUCCCAGCCUCUUCCUCCACAAGAUAAACCACAGCCGGAGCGCAAUCUUGAUGGCACCUUCAGCGCCGUGAGCCGUUAUCACUACACCCCGACUUCCGAAGAUAGUGAUGUGGCCUUCAGCUGCAAAGUGAGGCAGGAAUGUCAGGAGAGGCCACUGGAGGAGACCUUUCAUCUGCAAUUCCGCAAGCGAGCGUCUGUGAAGUUAACUUCCAUCAAUUUGCCGCAGAGUCAGAAGCUGAUCUCUUGUGUUGCUGAAGAUUUCUAUCCAGCAGAUGCCAAAGUGAUCUGGAAGAAAAAUGGACAUCCUGUCAACAGCACAGAGCAAGGGAAUGAUGGCAACUUCAAAAAAAGAAUAUACCAUAAGCUAGGAGCUACCGAGAUGGAAAAUGAGUACACAUGUGAAGUGAGUCAGGAGGGAUUCAAUGACUCACUGAGAGAGAACAGAUUCACACAGAAAGAUGAGUGUGGAUGUACAAGGCAGACAAUUGUCCUGACAGUAGUUGGGGUCCUGUUUGCUGAAAUUGUCCUGGGGCUGUUCUGCUACUUUAUUUACAUAAAGAAGAACUUAAACUGCAAAGGUUUGACUAAAACUUCAAGUGGAUCCCCAGAACAGGCACCAUGUUUAACAACAGGGGAAACUGAAAACAAGAAUGAGAGAACGCUGAUGAAGAACAAUAAGGAUCAGGAUGCUGCAGAACCUUUUUUACAGCCAAGCAAUUCACUGUCGAAGCAUUCUGGAGCUGACCAUGACGAGAAGUGUGUUAAUAGCUAAAUCACAAUAAGUUAAUUUUGGGCCUGGGAUAAAGUCUUUGUGACAUCAUUAUAUUUACAAGGUUUGUACAGGUCAAUGUAUGAAGUAGGGUGGACAUACUUAAGCUAUUCGAUUUUAGCCCAACUUACAAGCUCAGUACUAUAUUGUGAGAAAAUCACUGACGGUCAUAAGUCGCUACUUGCAAAGUAUGGUACUUUCCAAUCCGAUCCAAAUGGCUUAUAAUCCUCCAUUUUUUUUUUUUUUGUGGACAUGCUAAAAGCAUCUGGGUACUGCCAAUGUGAGUUCUUCAGGUGUGAAAGAUCAUUCAAGCAGAAUCUGCAUUUCAGUGCCCUUUGACCAGUCAGAAAGCAACUGCAUGUUUAUGGUAUUGCAAGUAUGACUGCAAGACAUUCGUAGAUGAAUGUGAAAGAAACUUUAGUGGAAAGAGAACCAUUGACUCGAUGUCAUGAUCAGGGGCCUCAUGCAUAACGCUGUGCGUAGAAUUCACACUAAAACAUGGCGUACGGAUGAAAGCGGAAAUGCGCUUAUGCACCAAAAAAUCCAGAUGCAUAAAUCUGUGCGUACACCAACUUCCACGUUCUUCCGCUACAUAAAUCCCAGUCAGCGU